GGACUGUAGGCUGCAACUCGCCUACACGAAGCUGGAAUCGCUAGUAAUCGCGGAUCAGCACGCCGCGGUGAAUACGUUCCCGGGCCUUGUACACACCGCCCGUCACACCAUGGGAGUCGGAAAUGCCCGAAGUCAGUGACCUAACCGAAAGGGAGGAGCUGCCGAAGGUGGAGCCGGUAACUGGGUGAAGUCGUAACAAGGUAGC
rnacentral:rRNA from 1 species